UUACGGACCUGGCAGGGGAGACUCGGUGUAGUUAGAGGGGCAGGCCUGUCCCUUGCCUUGCGGGCAGGCUGACGCCUGCAAGUCUCGAUAAUGCCUCCCAGUGGGAUGAUUUCAGCUGCACGAUUUAUGGUGAUGGGGGAUCGCUCUUGGGCUCUCCCUCC
rnacentral:snRNA from 14 species